UACGUAGGUGGCAAGCGUUGUCCGUAAUUAUUGGGCGUAAAGCGCGCGCAGGCGGUCCUUUAAGUCUGAUGUGAAAGCCCACGGCUCAACCGUGGAGGGUCAUUUGAAACUGGGGGACUUGAGUGCAGAAGAGGAAAGCGGAAUUCCACGUGUAGCGGUGAAAUGCGUAGAGAUGUGGAGGAACACCAGUGGCGAAGGCGGCUUUCUGGUCUGUAACUGACGCUGAGGCGCGAAAGCGUGGGGAGCAAACAGG
rnacentral:rRNA from 1 species